GGUUUAAUUCGAUGAUACGCGAGGAACCUUACCCGGGCUUGAAUUGCAGAGGAAGGAUUUGGAGACAAUGACGCCCUUCGGGGCCUCUGUGAAGGUGCUGCAUGGUUGUCGUCAGCUCGUGCCGUGAGGUGUCGGCUUAAAGUGCCAUAACGAGCGCAACCCCUCUCCUUAGUUGCCAUCAGGUCAAGCUGGGCACUCUGGGGACACUGCCACCGUAAGGUGUGA
rnacentral:rRNA from 1 species